rnacentral:rRNA from 1 species
GACGAACGCUGGCGGCGUGCUUAACACAUGCAAGUCGAACGGAAAGGCCCCUUUGGGGGUACUCGAGUGGCGAACGGGUGCGUAACACGUGAGUAACCUGCCCUUGACUUCGGGAUAACUUCAGGAAACUGGGGCUAAUACCGGAUAGGAAUCCUUGCUGCAUGGUGGGGGUUGGAAAGCUUCGGCGGUUUUGGAUGGACUCGCGGCUUAUCAGCUUGUUGGUGGGGUAGUGGCUUACCAAGGCUUUGACGGGUAGCCGGCCUGAGAGGGCGACCGGCCACAUUGGGACUGAGAGACGGCACAGACUCCUACGGGAGGCAGCAGUGGGGAAGAUUGCACAAUGGGCGGAAGCCGGAUGCAGCAGCGCCGCGGGCGGGAGGACGGCCUUCGGGUUGUAAAACGCUUUCAGCAGGGGCGAAGCUUGUGGUGACGGUACCUGCAGAAGAAGCACCGGCUAACUACGUG